UACGUAGGGUGCGAGCGUUGUCCGGAAUUAUUGGGCGUAAAGAGCUCGUAGGCGGUCUGUCGCGUCGGAUGUGAAAACCCAGGGCUCAACUCUGGGCCUGCAUUCGAUACGGGCAGACUAGAGUACGGCAGGGGAGACUGGAAUUCCUGGUGUAGCGGUGAAAUGCGCAGAUAUCAGGAGGAACACCGGUGGCGAAGGCGGCUCUCUGGAACGCAACUGACGCUGAGACGCGAAAGCGUGGGGAGCAAACAGG
rnacentral:rRNA from 1 species